UACGGAGGGUGCGAGCGUUAAUCGGAAUUACUGGGCGUAAAGGGCCUGUAGGCGGACUAUUAAGUUAGAUGUGAAAUCCCUGGGCUCAACCUAGGAAUGGCAUUUAAGACUGGUAGGCUAGAGUUUUGUAGAGGGGGGUAGAAUUCCAGGUGUAGCGGUGAAAUGCGUAGAGAUCUGGAGGAAUACCGGUGGCGAAGGCGGCCCCCUGGACAGAGACUGACGCUGAGGGGCGAAAGCGUGGGGAGCAAACAGG
rnacentral:rRNA from 1 species